GCCAGCAUGGCAUAGUGGCUUGAGUGUUGGAUUAUGACUCUGGAGACCAGGGUUUGACUCCCUGCUUGGCA